CACGUAGGCGGCCUGGUAAGUCAGAUGUGAAAGCCCGGGGCUUAACCCCGGUAGUGCAUUUGAUACUGUCAGGCUUGAGUAUGGGAGAGGGAAGUGGAAUUCCUGGUGUAGAGGUGAAAUUCGUAGAUAUCAGGAGGAACACCGGUGGCGAAGGCGACUUCCUGGACCAAUACUGACGCUGAGGUGCGAAGGCGUGGGUAGCAAACAGGAUUAGAUACCCUGGUAGUCC
rnacentral:rRNA from 1 species